rnacentral:rRNA from 1 species
UACAGAGGGGGCAAGCGUUAUUCGGAAUUUUGGGCGUAAAGGGCGCGUAGGCGGCUUUUCAAGUGACGGGUGAAAUCCCUCGGCUUAACCGAGGAACUGCCUGUCAGACUGGAAGGCUUGAGACCGGGAGAGGUGAGUGGAAUUCCCAGUGUAGCGGUGAAAUGCGUAGAUAUUGGGAGGAACACCAGUGGCGAAGGCGGCUCACUGGACCGGAACUGACGCUGAGGCGCGAAAGCGUGGGGAGCAAACAGG